GGAGCGGUCGCCUAGUCUGGUCGAGGGCGCGGCACUGGAAAUGCCGUAACGGGCUUACCCCGUUCGCGAGUUCGAAUCUCGCCCGCUCCGCCA
rnacentral:tRNA from 1 species